rnacentral:rRNA from 1 species
AUUAACGCUAGCGGCAGGCAUAAUACAUGCAAGUUGAACGGCAGCAACAGGUAGCAAUACCGGGUGGCGAGUGGCACACGGGUGCGUAACACGUAUGCAACCUACCCUAUACAGGCGAAUAACCUUUAGAAAUGAGGGCUAAUACGCCGUGGUAUUAUCUUGGGGCAUCUUGAGAUAAUUAAAGAUUUAUCGGUAUAGGAUGGGCAUGCGUCCCAUUAGUUAGUUGGUAGGGUAACGGCCUACCAAGGCUAUGAUGGGUAGGGG